GACGAACGCUGGCGGCGUGCUUAACACAUGCAAGUCGAACGGAAAGGCCCUGCUUUUGUGGGGUGCUCGAGUGGCGAACGGGUGAGUAACACGAGAGUAACCUGCCCUUGACUUUGGGAUAACUUCAGGAAACUGGGGCUAAUACCGGAUAGGAGCUCCUGCUGCAUGGUGGGGGUUGGAAAGUUUCGGCGGUUGGGGAUGGACUCGCGGCUUAUCAGCUUGUUGGUGGGGUAGUGGCUUACCAAGGCUUUGACGGGUAGCCGGCCUGAGAGGGUGACCGGCCACAUUGGGACUGAGAGACGGCCCAGACUCCUACGGGAGGCAGCAGUGGGGAAUAUUGCACAAUGGGCGGAAGCCUGAUGCAGCAACGCCGCGUGCGGGAUGACGGCCUUCGGGUUGUAAACCGCUUUCGCCUGUGACGAAGCGUGAGUGACGGUAAUGGGUAAAGAAGCACCGGCUAACUACGUG
rnacentral:rRNA from 1 species